CGUUUGAUCAUGGCUCAGGAUAAACGCUGGCGGCGUGCCUAAUGCAUGCAAGUCGCACGGGGUAUCACUUCGGUGGUGCCGAGUGGCGAACGGGUGAGGAACGCGUGGACAACCUACCCCGGCGUGGGGGAUACCCGCCAGAAAUGGCGGCUAAUACCGCGUACGGUCGCCCGACGGCAGGUGGGGCGAAGAAAGCAGCGAUGCGCGCUGGGAGGGGUCUGCGGCCGAUUAGCUGGUUGGCGGGGUAGUGGCCCACCAAGGCGAUGAUCGGUAGCUGGUCUGAGAGGAUGAUCAGCCACACGGGGACUGAGACACGGCCCCGACUCCUACGGGAGGCAGCAGCAAGGAAUUUUCCGCAAUGGGGGCAACCCUGACGGAGCAACGCCGCGUGACGGAUGACGCCUCUUGGGGUGUAAACGUCUUUUGCCGGGGGAGAGAACGGACGGUACCCGGCGAAUCAGGACCGGCUAACUACGUGCCAGCAGCCGCGGUAAUAA
rnacentral:rRNA from 1 species